rnacentral:rRNA from 1 species
CCUACGGGUGGCAGCAGUGGGGAAUAUUGCACAAUGGGCGAAACCCUGAUGCAGCAACGCCGCGUGAGUGAAGAAGUAUUUCGGUAUGUAAAGCUCUAUCAGCAGGGAAGAAGAUGACGGUACCUGAGUAAGAAGCCCCGGCUAACUACGUGCCAGCAGCCGCGGUAAUACGGAGGGGGCAAGCGUUAUCCGGAUUUACUGGGUGUAAAGGGAGCGUAGACGGUGAGACAAGUCUGAAGUGAAAGCCCGGGGCUCAACCCGGGGACUGCAGUUGAAACUGGCUGACUGGAGUGCUGGCGAGGAAGGGGGAAUGCGUGGUGGAGCGGUGAAAGGUGGAGAUAUGAGGAAGAACACCGAGGGGGAAGGCAGCUUGCUAGACGGAAAGUGACGUUGAGGCUCGAAAGGGUGGGGAUAAAACAGGAUGAGAUACCCGGGUAGUC